GGAAAGAGGCAAGCAUUCCAGGUAGCAAGCAGAGCAGGGGCCAAAGCAAGGCAGUGUUUGGAGGCGUUAAACCGCAAGUUUGGUUGGACACUCUAACGAGUCCAAAGAGAUACUGCUGAAAAACGCGAUGAAGAUUUAAAUAGUUUAAUUCAGAAGAUAUUUGUUGAGUAUCUUCCAGAUGUCGGGCUGUGGGUACAAGGCUAUGAUGGUGAAAACAGGAACCAGAGUAAGAGAAUGUCGGUGCUGCUGCUCAUAAACUCGUUCUCAGAACCUACUACAAUAUACCAUUUGGGCAGAUAUUUUUAAACGACCCAAACAAUACUUUGUAUUGUUUAUGGAAAUAUUCAUAUGCAAUAAAAUUACAAAAGCA
rnacentral:lncRNA from 1 species